CAGUGAGUGAUGUGUUAUUUUAUAAAAGAAGAAUAAUGAUCGAUAUCCUUUACAUAUAAAAAUAUAUUUAAGAAACUAUGUAUAUAUAAAAUUAAUAAAUUUGCAGUGUUGAUAUACGUUAUGAUGAUAACAUUUAUCAUAAUACCUUCAUUAGGACCGAUGCUUCUCGAUAUCGUGCUACCUCUUAAUGGAUCGCGUUCGCGACACUUUGCAGUGUACGCCGAAUAUGGGAUAGAUCAAAAUAAGUAUUUUGUAGAAAUAUUUUUGUACACUACUAUCAUGAUCACGGUGGGUAUAACCAUCAUGGUGUCUGUUGAUACUAUGCAUAUUGCGUGCACCGCGCACGCAUGUAGCUUAUUCCAAGUUGUCGGGUAUGUCGAUAUAUUAAACGACACGCAUAAGAUUGUGGGGAUUAGCUUUUCAUUAUUGCUUGGCGCGCUUGUCAGUUUGAUUGGAGUUCGCAUUGUCUAUGUAUUAGACCAAAUGGAAGAAAUGAUUAGAUAUACGUUUAUAAUCAUGGGAGCGUUAUUACAAUUGAUGAUCGCGUGUUAUUCCGGCCAGAAAUUAAUGGACGAAAGUCAGAAUAUAUUCCACCGAGCGUAUACAGCGGAAUGGUAUAAAUUCUCGCCAAGAUUAAAAUCAUUGUUAAUUAUAACUCUUUAUAGAAGUGUUAUUCCGUGCAAAUUGACAGCAGGUAAUUUGUUUCCGUUGUCGAUGUCAUUCUUCGCCGCGGUAAGUAUGAUAAAGAAUCUGCAAAAAUUAUUUUACGAUAUAUACGAGAAAUUACUUGUGCGUUUCUGUUCGAUUUAAGGUGGUGCGAGCGAGUGUAUCUUAUUUCACGACAUUCUUAUCGUUGAAAGAUUAAUUAAUUCUGAAAUGGUAUGACUUUUUGUCACUGAUAUGUCUUCAACUCGAGCGUCAACGAACUAAAGCAAUAAGAUUAAUUCUAUAACGACGAUAAUGGCAAUAAUUUCACUCAUCGGCAGACUUCGUUAAUUUGUUGACGCAAUUAUACGAUUUUGAUUGCGUCAUGUACCUGCAAUAGAAAAAAAUCAUUGUUAGAUGUCACAUAAUUAUAAUUAUUA